rnacentral:misc_RNA from 1 species
GUUGCAGAGCAACAAGUUUCUAGGCUUUGUGUGGAAGCACAAGAAUGCAUGGUGAUGGGCAGAUGGUUGGACUUGGCAUCUUUAAUGCUCACUUCAGCUGACUUGAUAUUCUCCAACUCUAAGGUGUCAGAGAAAGAUCUUGAGUGUAUCUUCACUGUUAUAUGUGAUCUUGUCUCCAAGUUGGAAAGUCCAGAUGAAGCACUUGAGAUGGCAAAACUCAUAUGCGGAAAAAUUAUUCAGCAGCCAACUGACAAGCCUGCAUUGCGAUUGAAGAUCUUGUUCAAUCUGUACAAUCUGCUGGAGAACACAUACAGCCGGUUCUAUGUUUACAUGAAGGCUCUGAAUUUGGCAGUGAGCGGAAAAGUUACAGAGCAUGUCAUACCUUCUUUCAAAAAGAUUGAUAGUUUCUUGAAAGAGUGGAAUCUUGAGGUGAAGGAUCAGAGGGAUCUUUUUCUUGGAAUUUCUAAUGUACUGAGAGAGAGUAAGAGCUCAGGAAAGGAUUCUUUCAAAUUCCUGACCAAGUAUUUAGCAACCUUUUCUGGGGAGGAUGCAUAUGCAAUGGGUGAAGCCAAGGAGGAAGCUGUGCGCACAAUUAUCGAAUUUGUCAAGGCACCUGACAUAUUUCAGUGUGACCUGCUAGAUAUGCCUGCUGUGGGGCAGUUGGAAAAGGACGCUAAGCAUGCAUUGGUAUAUCAGCUUUUGAAUAUCUUUCUGACGCAGAGGCUAGAUGCCUAUUUAGAGUUUCAGGCUGCAAAUUCUACUUUGCUGAAAAGCUAUGGUCUUGUUCAU